rnacentral:misc_RNA from 1 species
GGUGAAGAACGUAGUGAAAUGCGAUAAGUAAUGUGAAUUGCAGAAUUCAGUGAAUCAUCGAAUCUUUGAACGCACAUUGCGCCCGCCAGUAUUCUGGCGGGCAUGCCUGUUCGAGCGUCAUUUCAACCAUCAAGCCCCCGGCUUGUGUUGGGGACCUGCGGCUGCCGCAGGCCCUGAAAAGCAGUGGCGGGCUCGCUGUCACACCGAGCGUAGUAGCAUACAUCUCGCUCUGGGCGUGCUGCGGGUUCCGGCCGUUAAACCACCUUCAUAACCCAAGGUUGACCUCGGAUCAGGUAGGAAGACCCGCUGAACUUAAGCAUAUCAAUAAGCGGAGGA